AUGCGUGGCCCACUUCCAGAACUCCGGCGGCGGCUUCAAGUCAUCUGCGAACGCGGCCACCCGCGGGCAUGGUGGCUACUCAGCUCGCCACCACGGUCCUCCUCGUCCCAAGGGCAAGCAAGGCGGCCCCAGCAACGCCACCGGCUUCGGUUCACGCUCUGGCCGUCCCAACUCCACCAGCAACAGGGGGCGGCGCAGUGGAUCUGGCCGGUCUCGUCUUGA
rnacentral:rRNA from 1 species